AACGAACGCUGGCGGCAGGCUUAACACAUGCGAGUCGAACGCAUCGCAAGAUGAGUGGCAGACGGGUGAGUAACGCGUGGGAACAUACCCUUUUCUACGGAAUAGCUCUGGGAAACUGGAAUUAAUACCGUAUACGCCCUACGGGGGAAAGAUUUAUCGGGGAAGGAUUGGCCCGCGUUAGAUUAGCUAGUUGGUGGGGUAAAGGCCUACCAAGGCGACGAUCCAUAGCUGGUCUGAGAGGAUGAUCAGCCACAUUGGGGCUGAGACACGGCCCAAACUCCUACGGGAGGCAGCAGUGGGGAAUAUUGGACAAUGGGCGCAAGCCUGAUCCAGCCAUGCCGCGUGAGUGAUGAAGGCCUUAGGGUUGUAAAGCUCUUUCACCGAUGAAGAUAAUGACGGUAGUCGGAGAAGAAGCCCCGGCUAACUUCGUGCCAGCCGCCGCAGUAAAAC
rnacentral:rRNA from 1 species